CCGCUAACAUAACUACCCGGUUAGCUAACAUAACUACGCCGACCGCUAAUUUUACUAACCCAAUAGCUAACAUAACUACGCCGAUCGCUAACAUAACUACGCCGACCGCUAAUUUUACUAACCUGA